GUGGGUAACCUACCUAUAAGACUGGGAUAACUUCGGGAAACCGGAGCUAAUACCGGAUAAUAUUUCGAACCACAUGGUUCGAUAGUGAAAGAUGGCUUUGCUAUCACUUAUAGAUGGACCUGCGCCGUAUUAGCUAGUUGGUAAGGUAACGGCUUACCAAGGCAACGAUACGUAGCCGACCUGAGAGGGUGAUCGGCCACACUGGAACUGAGACACGGUCCAGACUCCUACGGGAGGCAGCAGUAGGGAAUCUUCCGCAAUGGGCGAAAGCCUGACGGAGCAACGCCGCGUGAGUGAUGAAGGUCUUCGGAUCGUAAAACUCUGUUAUUAGGGAAGAACAAACGUGUAAGUAACUGUGCACGUCUUGACGGUACCUAAUCAGAAAGCCACGGCUAACUACGUGCCAGCAGCCGCGGUAAUACGUAGGUGGCAAGCGUUAUC
rnacentral:rRNA from 1 species